rnacentral:rRNA from 1 species
AUUGAACGCUGGCGGCAUGCCUUACACAUGCAAGUCGAACGGCAGCACGGGAGCAAUCCUGGUGGCGAGUGGCGAACGGGUGAGUAAUAUAUCGGAACGUGCCCGGUCGUGGGGAUAACGUAGCGAAAGCUACGCUAAUACCGCAUACGAUCUACGGAUGAAAGCGGGGGAUCGCAAGACCUCGGCGCGAUUGGAGCGGCCGAUAUCAGAUUAGGUAGUUGGUGAGGUAAAGGCUCACCAAGCCGACGAUCUGUAGCUGGUCUGAGAGGACGACCAGCCACACUGGGACUGAGACACGGCCCAGACUCCUACGGGAGGCAGCAGUGGGAAUUUGGACAAUGGGCGCAAGCCUGAUCCAGCAAUGCCGCGUGCAGGAUGAAGG